rnacentral:lncRNA from 1 species
GAUGCAUAUGUUGUACAAUAGAAAAGAUAUAUUAAGGAAUAAUAUAUUAGAAGAAUUGUAAGAGUUGCUCAAAUGAAGAGUGAAAGAAGCUGCAGGAGUUACUCAAAUUAAGGAAAAGUAAUGAAAAAUUAAUUGAUUGUGCAAUAAAAAAAUUUAAGAAGGCUUUUAUAGGGAGAGACAUUUUAGUUUACGUUGAAGGUUGUAACAAAUGAGAGAAACACUUUAAGCAAUAACAAUGG